GGGCAGUUAGCUCAAAUGGUAGAUGCGCGUGCUUCGCAUGUACGAGAUGGGGGUUCGAUUCCCUCACUGUCCA
rnacentral:tRNA from 1 species